rnacentral:rRNA from 1 species
CAGCACCUCAAGUGGUCAGGAUGAUUAUUGGGCCUAAAGCAUCCGUAGCCGGCGCUGUAAGUUUUCGGUUAAAUCUGUACGCUCAACGUACAGGCUGCCGGGAAUACUGCAGCGCUAGGGAGUGGGAGAGGUAGACGGUACUCGGUAGGAAGGGGUAAAAUCCUUUGAUCUAUUGAUGACCACCUGUGGCGAAGGCGGUCUACCAGAACACGUCCGACGGUGAGGGAUGAAAGAUGGGGGAGCAAACCGGAUUAGAUACCCGUGUAGUCC